UGCUGGGUAGCUCAGCUGGGAGAGCAUCAAACUCUCAAUCUCAGGGUCGUGGGGUUGAGCCCCAUGUUGGGAG